rfam:Arthrobacter sp. SRS-W-1-2016 contig26558, whole genome shotgun sequence.
UGAUAACGACAGGGGAGCGCCGCCGUCGGGCUCGCAGCAAUGCGGUACGGAGGACGGGCGCUGAGAGUGCGGACAGCCGCAGACCCUCGAACCUGAUCCGGCUAGUACCGGCGCAAGGGAGUCGAGUUCUCAUAGUG